GACGAACGCUGGCGGCGUGCUUAACACAUGCAAGUCAAACGGAAAGGCCCUGCUUUUGUGGGGUGCUCGAGUGGCGAACGGGUGAGUAACACGUGAGUAACCUGCCCUUGACUUUGGGAUAACUUCAGGAAACUGGGGCUAAUACCGGAUAGGAGCUCCUGCUGCAUGGUGGGGGUUGGAAAGUUUCGGCGGUUGUGGAUGGACUCGCGGCUUAUCAGCUUGUUGGUGGGGUAGUGGCUUACCAAGGCUUUGACGGGUAGCCGGCCUGAGAGGGUGACCGGCCACAUUGGGACUGAGAUACGGCCCAGACUCCUACGGGAGGCAGCAGGGGGGAAUAUUGCACAAUGGGCGGAAGCCUGAUGCAGCAACGCCGCGUGCGGGAUGACGGCCUUCGGGUUGUAAACCGCUUUCGCCUGUGACGAAGCGUGAGUGACGGUAAUGGGUAAAGAAGCACCGGCUAACUACGUG
rnacentral:rRNA from 1 species